rnacentral:piRNA from 1 species
UGAGGAUGGUAUUUAAUAUUA